rnacentral:misc_RNA from 1 species
UUUCCGUAGGUGAACCUGCGGAAGGAUCAUUAUCACAGAAAUAAAAAAAAGAGGGCAAAACCAUUAAAAGCUGGCUGCCCCUCCAAUUAACCAUUGGAGACACCGUGAAUUAGUUUGGUCUCUGUCUUUUUUUUUAAACACCCUUUUUGAUUGGUUAAAAAGACUGAUAAAAAAGAUUGAUAAAAAGGACACAACUUUUAACAACGGAUAUCUUGGCUCUC